ensembl:lncRNA
CUGCCACCCAGAAUCACAGAGUUGUGAGGUCACAAUGCCCCAUCCUAUGGCUGUGCUAUGCUGUGCUGUGAGCUCACAAGCUGCGACGCUGUCCUGUGCUGCAGGCUUCGCUCUGUGAAACACUCACUGUGGCUGCAGCGGUGGUGGUGGAAGCAUGGUGCAAGUGUGGGGGGCCAUGGCCCCUGCCCGCCUUGUCCUCUUCCUCCUACUGAUGGCCAUGUGUUUCCAGGAGACCUGUGCUGCUCCAUGGCGAGCACCGGGAGCAGAUGAUGAGCUCAGAGCUCCCUUUCCAGGUGAUCCUUUGGAUUCGGAUUCUGUGCGUGUGCCCGUGGGACAACCCAGAGGCCCUGCUGGUGAAUCAGCAGAAUGGAAUCCUGUCUAUGAGCCUGAGGGGGAUGCUGGAGGUAAGUCACCAGUCUUCCUUUGUUCAUAUAUUUGCCUGGGAUAGUUC